UACGGGGGGGGCAAGCGUUGUUCGGAAUUAUUGGGCGUAAAGCGCGCGCAGGCGGCUUAUUAAGUCUGAUGUGAAAGCCCACGGCUCAACCGUGGAGGGCCAUUGGAAACUGGUAGGCUUGAGUGCAGGAGAGGAGAGCGGAAUUCCAGGUGUAGCGGUGAAAUGCGUAGAUAUCUGGAGGAACACCGGUGGCGAAGGCGGCAUCCUGGACCGGUAUUGACGCUGAGGCGCGAAAGCUAGGGGAGCAAACGGG
rnacentral:rRNA from 1 species